UUUUUUGCAAUUUCUCUCUUAAAUACUUCAUUCUUCAUUGAUGUUUUGAUUCGUUUUAGUAAUAAUUUUGAUUCAUUUAUAAAAGAUAUUCAUAUUCUCUUCUUCUUUUCUAUAACCAGCUUUCUUUAAAAUCCCAACAUCUAUAUAUAUAUAUAUAUAUGGUAUUUCUUGCUUUAUAAAUACAGAUUAUACCAGUAUUAAAUUUGGGCUUUCUUGGUUCUUGACUUCGUCUUUCAUUUAUUUAGAUUUCUUUGAAUUUUUUUUCAGCCUACGAACUCGAAUCAUCAACAGCAUCAGCUACACGAAAAUGGAAGUUUAGUGAGUGGCCACGGACUUCUUUCUCACCAACUUCAACCUUACCCACCAAACCCUAACCCUAACUACCACCAUGCCGCUGCCUCCAGUGGUCUUCCAGCGAGGCUUGGUGGAUCCAUGGCUGAGAGAGCGAGGCAGGCCAAAGCUCCUCCGCCUGAGGGAGCCCGAAAGUGUCCUCGAUGCGACUCCCUCAACACCAAGUUCUGUUACUACAAUAACUACAACCUCACUCAGCCUCGCUACUUCUGCAAGGGUUGCCGUCGUUACUGGACACAUGGCGGCGCUCAGAGGAACGUCCCCGUGGGCGGAGGCAGCCGGAGGAAUAGCAAAAAGGGCAAAAAUGGUAAUUCAAAAUCUUCUUCUUCUUCGUCCAAACAGUCUUCUUCCACGGUCAACGCUCCAAGUUCUAACUCAGGACAGCUGAAGACAAACCAUCAGUUCCCGUUUUUACCAACUCUUCACAAUCUCACUCAACUCGGAGGUAUCGGUUUAAAUUUAGCUGCAACUAAUGGCAAUUAUUGCCAAGCUCACCAGAUUGGUCCGAGUUUAAUGAACGAUCUAGGGUUUCUUCAUGUCGGAAAUGGACGAACCGGAAACAUUCAUGACAACAACAAUAACAGCGGUGAAAACAACCUAAUGGCUGCUGCUGGAUCAAUGAAUCAGUUCACUCUCUUCGAUCCAGCAACUGGCCUACACGCUUUCCAGAACGAGAGCAAUAUAGGAAACAAUUUUGGAAUAUCUUUUUCCUCUACUUCCAUGGUUGAUUCUAGGGCUUACCAGACAACCCCAGUGAAGAUGGAAGAACAACCCAGUUUGGUUAACUUGUCUAGACCGGUCUCUAGUUUGACGCCUCCGGGGAAUCAAACAAACCAGUACUUUUGGACCAAUUCGGAUUUAUCGGGUCCUUCUUCUAAAGAUCAUCACCAACUCUUGUGAGAUUUUGUGUGUUUGUUAAUGUAUGUUUACGACGUGGAGGUUGAUUUAAAUGACUACGAACGGUCAUGAUCAAAUGCAUGCAGAGUACGUGUGUGGGACAAUGAUCGUGGAGAAGUAAUGAUACAAACUAAAAGGUGUCUUAGUAAGAGUUGGUGGUUCUACAACUUAAUCAGACUGUAUAGUAAAAGCUAAGGAUAAUUCAUAAAGUAAAAAAGGGGUUGCUGACAAAAGAACUUGGAUCAUACAAAUCCGUGUCUCGCUGGAUGCUGCGUUAUAAAACUCCCAAAAUACUCUUUUCUCAUAUUUUAAGGAGCUUCUUUUUCUUUUGCAGUCUUCUUGUACGAAUCUGUGUGUCAGUCUGUUUUGUGUGGGUGCAUGAUCCUCUUAAAUCUUUUGCAAACAUGUAUAUAUCUCUCCCUAUAUAUAAACAUUAAUACUAUAAAUGAAGUAUAAACUUUCUGCAUGGAUUAAAAGCCACUUACGUAUAGUUUAAUUGACUACCCAUAAUUGAUUUACUGUAAUAAAGAGUAACUAGCCAGGAAACAGGCGAGUAUAUAUCUAUUCCUUCUAAUCAGUAUACGUGAAUGGUAGAGUCUAAUGUUAGUUUGGAUGUUGCAUUUGAACUAAAGGAUCUGAAACUUAUAUAACACCGCGUUAGUAAAAAUUUUUUUUGAAACCCACCGUGUUAGUAGUUUGUAAUGAAAACAAUAAUUUUCCAAUGAUGCAAAAUAUAAAACGAUAGUAACAAAAAGUGGAGAAUAUAAUGGAGAAAACGUUAAACCAAGAUUGACACGGAAAACAUGCAUGCAGAGAUUUGUAUGUCCUGACCUGGAGGACCACCACAUAACUUUUAAUUUAUGAUAGUCCCACUUCUUAACGGUAGGGUUAAAACACUUGUGAAAUGCUUUUUUGACUACCUUUUUCUUUUACUGGUGACUGUUUUCCUAAAAUUAAACUGUACAUAAAAAGUAUACACGACAUGAUAUAAGACUGUUUUUAUGUUUGUAAACUAGUGCUUCGAAACUAUUUUAGCAGAAAACUCUUGUAGUUUUGAGCAAACAAGAUAAGAGAAUGAUAUAAAUAACAUACUAGAUUUUCUAUACUAAAGCACUUGAUUUUCUUAUGAGUCCCUAUGAUACUAGAAUCACUCAACUCCCCAUUAAGCCACCAAUCUCUCUUCUGACUUUCAACUGUUCCAGAAGAAAUUCUAGCGUUCCUUAUACAUCAGAUUCAGAAUGGGGCCUUGAUUAUUAUCAGCAUACACAUCCACGAAUGUAAGUACAUUUAGUAUUUACGCAUUUGAUUUCUCUUUUGUCGUACUUCCAAAGUCAGUUUUCUAACGAGUUGGCAAUAUAAUAUGAAUAGCCUGGAGACAGAAAUUUAGAAAUGUAUAGAACUAGGAUGAUGAUACUAUUUACGUGAAUUUAACAAAAUGAUGAACCGUCCAUGCUAGGAUUAUGAUGAAUCCGAUUGACGUGUGAGUGGUAAUAGAUCUUAGAUACAAAAUCAAUGCUUUGGAAGUUUAGGAACACAGCCCUUGUUAAUGUGGUUCGAUUCUUCUUUAGGUUUAAGAGUGGGGGAGUUGAGAUAAGGAGGGUAAGAAUAUAAAGGACAAAUAAAUUGCAUUAAACAUAAAAUUCUAAAUUAAUGAAUACCAAGUUCCCUGUAAUGCAAGAAACAGUACAGAAAGAAACAAAUAAGAAGCCAUAGAAUUUGAA